UUAUGAGAGUUUGAUCCUGGCUCAGGACGAACGCUGGCGGCGUGCCUAAUACAUGCAAGUCGAACGCUUUUUCUUUCACCGGAGCUUGCUCCACCGAAAGAAAAAGAGUGGCGAACGGGUGAGUAACACGUGGGUAACCUGCCCAUCAGAAGGGGAUAACACUUGGAAACAGGUGCUAAUACCGUAUAACACUAUUUUCCGCAUGGAAGAAAGUUGAAAGGCGCUUUUGCGUCACUGAUGGAUGGACCCGCGGUGCAUUAGCUAGUUGGUGAGGUAACGGCUCACCAAGGCAACGAUGCAUAGCCGACCUGAGAGGGUGAUCGGCCACACUGGGACUGAGACACGGCCCAGACUCCUACGGGAGGCAGCAGUAGGGAAUCUUCGGCAAUGGACGAAAGUCUGACCGAGCAACGCCGCGUGAGUGAAGAAGGUUUUCGGAUCGUAAAACU
rnacentral:rRNA from 1 species